rnacentral:rRNA from 1 species
GACGAACGCUGGCGGCGUGCCUAACACAUGCAAGUCGAACGGAGUUUCCAGCAAUGGAUUCUUAGUGGCGAACGGGUGAGUAACGCGUAGACAACCUACCUUCGAGAUGGGGACAACACUGCGAAAGUGGUGCUAAUACCGACUGUUGUAACGAGACUGCAUAUGCUUGUUACUAAAGAUGCACUCUAUUUAUAAGCAAUCGCUAUAGGAUGGUUCUGCGUCUGAUUAGCUAGUUGGUGAGGUAAUGGCUCACCAAGGCGACGAUCAGUAGCCGGUCUGAGAGAAUGAACGGCCACACUGGGACUGAGACACGGCCCAGACUCCUACGGAAGGCAGCAUUGGGGAAUCUACCGCAAUGGACGAAAGUCUGACGGAGCAACGCCGCGCGAGUGAAGAAGGUUUUCGGAUCGUAAAACUCUGUUUUCAGGGACGAAUGUGCAGCUUGUAAAUAAUGAGUUGUAAUGACGGUACCUGAGUAGAAAGCCACGGCUAACUACGUGCCAGCAGCCGCCGUAA